rnacentral:misc_RNA from 1 species
AAUUCUCAACCCUGUGCUUUUCUUGUGAAAGCGCGUGGGCUUGGACUUGGAGGCUUUGCUGGUCCUCGCGGAUCGGCUCCUCUCAAAUGCAUUAGCGAGACCCUUGUGGUGCCGCCCCCGGUGUGAUAAUUGUCUACGCCGUGGUGGUACGCCACGAUUGUGGGGGACCUGCUUCCAACCGUCGAAAGACAAACUUUAUCGAA